AUUGAACGCUGGCGGCAGGCCUAACACAUGCAAGUCGAGCGAGCGGCGGACGGGUGAGUAAUGUCUGGGAAACUGCCUGAUGGAGGGGGGUAACUACUGGAAACGGUAGCUAAUACCGCAUACCAUCAGAUGUGCCCAGAUGGGAUUGGCUCGUAGGUGGGGUAAUGGCUCACCUAGGCGACGAUCCCUAGCUGGGCUGAGAGGAUGACCAGCCACACUGGAACGGAGACACGGUCCAGACUCCUACGGGAGGCAGCAGUGGGGAAUAUUGCACAAUGGGCGCAAGCCUGAUGCAGCCAUGCCGCGUGUGUGAAGAAGGCCUUCGGGUUGUAAAGCACUUUCAGCGGGGAGGCGUUACCCGCAGAAGAAGCACCGGCUAACUCCGUGCCAGCAGCCGCGGUAAUAC
rnacentral:rRNA from 1 species